rnacentral:rRNA from 1 species
GAGUUUGAUCUUGGCUCAGAAUGAACGUUGGCGGCGUGCUUAACACAUGCAAGUCGAGCGAGAAAGUUUCUUCGGAAAUGAGUACAGCGGCGGACUGGUGAGUAACGCGUGGGGACCUGCCUCUUAGUGAAGAAUACCAUUGAGAAAUCGAUGUUAAUGCUGCAUAAGCCCCCUUCGGGGGGAAAGGUAGCUUAUGUUACCGCUUAGAGAUGGACCUGCGUACUAUUAGCUAGUUGGUGAGGUAAUGGCUCACCAAGGCGAUGAUGGUUAACCGGCCUGAGAGGGUGUACGGUCACACUGGGACUGAGAUACGGCCCAGACUCCUACGGGAGGCAGCAGUGAGGAAUAUUGCGCAAAUGGACGAAAGUCUGACGGCCAGCGACGCCGCGUGAAGGAUGAAGGUCUUCGGAUUGUAAACUUCUGUUAAGUGGGAAGAAAUACCGAGCAAUCGGGGAUGACGGUACCACUAAAGAAAGCACCGGCUAACUUCGUGCCAGCCGCCGCCGUAAC